UGUGCAAAUAUAAAGUGACAUUACUUAACAC
rnacentral:piRNA from 1 species